GAAAAAAUGGAAACCAAGAACGAAGUGGUGCCGAAAAAAUGGUAUUAGAGUUGUGGGCAGACCGAGUGAAUAAUUUCAGAUGCGCGAAGAAGAACAGCCGCAUUUUCAUGGGGAUGGAAGGCGAAAUGAGUAAAGACAAGGGGUUUUCAACUUUGGAGUUAAGGGAUGAAAUCCAUAACCUUACAAACCGCUAUAAGCACGAAAAAAAGAAAAUGGGGUUUUCGGGCGGAGCUUCUUCCUCCUGGUCCUACUACUCGGAAGUACAUUCAAUUCUAAGCGACAGCAAGGCUGUCAAUUUCACGUACCUCAUGUAAAUAAUUUUGUGUCGGACAAUGACGGUGAUGCGAAUGACGAUCCACUGUUUGGGUCGGAGGCAUCAGUGAGCUCCAGAACAUCGCUGCCAUCUCCAGUGCCAGCAACUCCGACUGAACCUAAAACAAAUAAAACAAUGAGCCAGGAAUCGAUUCUUAACUGCUCGGAGCGUUCGACUACAUGUCUAGAAAAAGGCUUGACCGAAAUUAAAGAAAUACAAGUCACAGUGAUGGACAUUACGAAGAAGGUUGACUGCAGAUGAAAACAGGAAUAUUAUUUUGGAGGAAAUGAAGGAAAACUCGAACAGCCUUUACACGAUUAACAAAUUGGAAUACUUAUGUACAUAAAAACGUUGCAAUAGUCUUUCUUAUGUGUUCAGCAUCAUUGUUAAAAUGGCCUCUGUAUACUCCGGUUGUUGCUGAUUGCGACUCCUCUCAUACUCAGUUUGCUUUUGGACCCAUAUCUGAUUUAUUUUGUCGUUGUGGGAAUUCAAAAAAUUGUGCAAGA